UACGGAGGGUGCAAGCGUUGUUCGGAAUUACUGGGCGUAAAGCGUGCGUAGGCGGUUUCUUAAGUCUGCUGUGAAAGCCCCGGGCUCAACCUGGGAAUGGCGGUGGAUACUGAGGAGCUGGAGUACGGUAGAGGAAGGUGGAAUUCCCGGUGUAGCGGUGAAAUGCGUAGAGAUCGGGAGGAACAUCAGUGGCGAAGGCGGCCUUCUGGACCAGUACUGACGCUGAGGCACGAAAGCGUGGGGAGCAAACAGG
rnacentral:rRNA from 1 species